rnacentral:rRNA from 1 species
UUACACAUGCAAGUCGAUUCGGAGAUGAGGUGCUUGCACCUUAUCUUACCGGCGGACGGGUGAGUAAUGCUUAGGAAUCGCCCUAUUAGUGGGGGACAACAUUCCGAAAGGAAUGGUAAUACCGCAUACGUCCUACGGGAGAAAGCAGGGGAUCUUCGGACCUUGCGNUAAUAGAUGAGCCUAAGUCGGAUUAGCUAGUUGGUGGGGUAAAGGCCUACCAAGGCGACGAUCUGUAGCGGGUCUGAGAGGAUGAUCCGCCACACUGGGACUGAGACACGGCCCAGACUCCUACGGGAGGCAGCAGUGGGGAAUAUUGGACAAUGGGGGGAACCCUGAUCCAGCCAUGCCGCGUGUGUGAAGAAGGCCUUAUGGUUGUAAAGCACUUUAAGCGAGGAGGAGGCUACUGAGACUAAUACUCUUGGAUAGUGGACGUUACUCGCAGAAUAAGCACCGGCUAACUCUGUGCCAGCAGCCGCGGUAAUACAGAGGGUGCGAGCGUUAAUCGGAUUUACUGGGCGUAAAGCGUGCGUAGGCGGCUUUUUAAGUCGGAUGUGAAAUCCCCGAGCUUAACUUGGGAAUUGCAUUCGAUACUGGGAAGCUAGAGUAUGGGAGAGGAUGGUAGAAUUCCAGGUGUAGCGGUGAAAUGCGUAGAGAUCUGGAGGAAUACCGAUGGCGAAGGCAGCCAUCUGGCCUAAUACUGACGCUGAGGUACGAAAGCAUGGGGAGCAAACAGGAUUAGAUACCCUGGGAGUC